rnacentral:rRNA from 1 species
GAUGAACGCUGGCGGCGUGCCUAAUACAUGCAAGUCGAGCGAACGGAUGAGAAGCUUGCUUCUCUGAUGUUAGCGGCGGACGGGUGAGUAACACGUGGAUAACCUACCUAUAAGACUGGGAUAACUUCGGGAAACCGGAGCUAAUACCGGAUAAUAUUUUGAACCGCAUGGUUCAAAAGUGAAAGACGGUCUUGCUGUCACUUAUAGAUGGAUCCGCGCUGCAUUAGCUAGUUGGUAAGGUAACGGCUUACCAAGGCAACGAUGCAUAGCCGACCUGAGAGGGUGAUCGGCCACACUGGAACUGAGACACGGUCCAGACUCCUACGGGAGGCAGCAGUAGGGAAUCUUCCGCAAUGGGCGAAAGCCUGACGGAGCAACGCCGCGUGAGUGAUGAAGGUCUUCGGAUCGUAAAACUCUGUUAUUAGGGAAGAACAUAUGUGUAAGUAACUGUGCACAUCUUGACGGUACCUAAUCAGAAAGCCACGGCUAACUACGUGCCAGCAGCCGCGGUAAUACGUAGGUGGCAAGCGUUAUCCGGAAUUAUUGGGCGUAAAGCGCGCGUAGGCGGUUUUUUAAGUCUGAUGUGAAAGCCCACGGCUCAACCGUGGAGGGUCAUUGGAAACUGGAAAACUUGAGUGCAGAAGAGGAAAGUGGAAUUCCAUGUGUAGCGGUGAAAUGCGCAGAGAUAUGGAGGAACACCAGUGGCGAAGGCGACUUUCUGGUCUGUAACUGACGCUGAUGUGCGAAAAGCGUGGGGAUCAAACACG